CGGAGGGUGCAAGCGUUAUCCGGAUUCACUGGGUUUAAAGGGUGCGUAGGUGGGCAAGUAAGUCAGUGGUGAAAUCUCCGGGCUUAACCCGGAAACUGCCAUUGAUACUAUUUGUCUUGAAUACUGUGGAGGUCAGCGGAAUAUGUCAUGUAGCGGUGAAAUGCUUAGAUAUGACAUAGAACACCAAUUGCGAAGGCAGCUGGCUACACAAAUAUUGACACUGAGGCACGAAAGCGUGGGGAUCAAACAGGAUUAGAUACCCUGGUAGUCCACGCCCUAAACUAUCGGAUACUCGACAUUUGCGAUAAACUGCAAGUGUCUGAGCGAAAGCAUUAAGUAUCCCACUGGGAAGUACGAUCGCAAGAUUG
rnacentral:rRNA from 1 species